CCUACGGGAGGCAGCAGUCGAGAAUUAUUCACAAUGGGGGAAACCCUGAUGGUGCGACGCCGCGUGGGGGAAUGAAGGUCUUCGGAUUUUAAACCCCAGUCAUGUGGGAGCAAAUUAAAAAGAUAUAACCACAGAAGGAAGAGACGGCUAACUCUGUGCAAGCAGCCGCGUAAAUACAAAGGUCUCAAGCGUUGUUCGGAAUCACUGGGCGUAAAGCGUGCGUAGGCGGUUUCGUAAGUCGUGUGUGAAAGGCGCGGGCUCAACCCGCGGAAGGCACAUGAUACUGGGAGACUAGAGUAAUGGAGGGGGAACCGGAAUUCUCGGUGUAGCAGUGAAAUGCGUAGAUAUCGAGAGGAACACUCGUGGCGAAGGCGGGUUCCUGGACAUUAACUGACGCUGAGGCACGAAGGCCAGGGGAGCGAAAGGGAUUAGAUACCCGUGUAGUC
rnacentral:rRNA from 1 species